rnacentral:misc_RNA from 1 species
AACCAGUAUCUUUCCGACCACCACGUUUUCAAGUACCACAGUGAUGGCCAAGGAGUGGCUGAUCUUCGCCUUGGGCACUAACAACUGGCAAGGGUCAGGGCAGUUUGCCCCUGGGUCUGGUAUUCUCCACCAAGGACAGCACAUUGCCAUGAACUCACUGGAAAAGUGCCACUGCUACUCGAUUUGGCCCUCUGAUCUCCAAAAGACCCCAACGGAUCGUGAUGACUACCGCGUGUACGAGAUUCCUCACCCGAUUCCCAUCUGCGAGAGUGUCGGACCACAGAGCAGCAAGAGAUGGCACUCUAUGACCGACGAGGAAGUAACAAGCUACUGCGACAAUCUGCUGAAGGAGUGCACUGACUUCAUCGAGUACAUCGAGAAUAAGCACGGCAAGCGUAUCAACCUCUUUCUCGCUCAUCAUUGCUUCAUGAAUCCUGUGAUUAUGUCUGAGAUCAACGAGCGUCGUGUGGCACAAGGGAUUCCGAAGGUGCCACUUGUGGUCUUCGCGCAUGGCACAGCUCUCAAGAUGUACGAGAAUGAAAUCAACAAGUUACCAGAGUUUCCCAUGAAGUACUACGACUGGAUUCGCGGCACGAAGAAUAUCUUCGAGAGCACUGGUCAUGUCUCCGGUGUUUUUGCCGUCUCGGCACCGCAGAAGAAUAGCUUUGAAAAGCUGUUUCCACUUUUUCCCAAAGAGCGCGUCGCCAUCACACCCUGCGGCUACAACCAGCUGGUGUUCCAUCCAAUACAAGGGAUGACACGCGAAAAGGCUUUCGGCCACAUGCCCCAGGUUCUCUACGACGGAUUCGAUGCCACCCAGCUCUCAUCCGUGCAGCGCCACGUGGCUUCUGAUCAACGCAUCUCUGACGUGAACGCUUACGACAGGGUCGUUGUUUUUUGUGGCCGCUUUGCUCACUGGAAGCGGAUCGACUCCGUCCUAAAGGCUGCCAGUAUGUGGGAGAAAGAGGACAAGAGGAUCCUUACUCUGAUCUUUGGUGCCGGCUCUCAAGAAACUCGAAAGCUGUAUGUGGACAUGGCCUAUCAGACGCUGGGGCUGAAAGACACCUUCUUCCUGGGACCUCAGAGUCAGCCUGAUCUAGCCAACGUCUACACUGUUGCGGAUGUUUCUGUGUUCCCGAGCCAUGAUGAGCCCUUCGGACUUGUGUUCAUCGAGUGCAUGGGGUGCGGAACACCUGUGAUCGGUGCCAAAUCCGGCGGCCCGCUGGACUUUGUCAACGACGAGGUUGGUGCCUUGGUGGACGAAGGUACAAACGACGAGGUUGCCGAGCGUGUCUAUGCUGCGGUGAAGCAGGCUCUCGCGGAGGACUGGAAGAAGACAAAAGGGGACCAAUGCGAGCAGUAUGCGCUCAAGAAGUUCAGCCUCACCUCGCAGGCAGAACUGAUGCUUCAGUUCGUGGAGAGCCACUUUACCAAGUGAUACGCUCGUGUGUGAAAUAUUUCUAGAGAGCUAACGGAACUCGUUCUCUCUGCCUCUUUUCGCGCCCUUUUUCACUUUCAUACACAAACGCCUUGGUUUCAUUCGUUACUUUUCAUGCAAUUGCAAGUGAUUCUAUCAGUGCGGCCUCUUCUUGGAGGCUGAAUGUGAAUACUUUGAUCUAUUUAAACACAGUUCUUUUGCUGGUGAUUGUGUUCUUAUCAUCGAAAAAC